AUGUGAACGUUACCAAACUGUUGCCUCGGCGGGGUCACGCCCCGGGUGCGUCGCAGCCCCGGAACCAGGCGCCCGCCGGAGGAACCAACCAAACUCUUUCUGUAGUCCCCUCGCGGACGUAUUUCUUACAGCUCUGAGCAAAAAUUCAAAAUGAAUCAAAACUUUCAACAACGGAUCUCUUGGUUCUGGCAUCGAUGAAGAACGCAGCGAAAUGCGAUAAGUAAUGUGAAUUGCAGAAUUCAGUGAAUCAUCGAAUCUUUGAACGCACAUUGCGCCCGCCAGUAUUCUGGCGGGCAUGCCUGUCCGAGCGUCAUUUCAACCCUCGAACCCCUCCGGGGGAUCGGCGUUGGGGAUCGGGACCCCUCACACGGGUGCCGGCCCCGAAAUACAGUGGCGGUCUCGCCGCAGCCUCUCCUGCGCAGUAGUUUGCACAACUCGCACCGGGAGCGCGGCGCGUCCACGUCCGUAAAACACCCAACUUUCUGAAAUGUUGACCUCGGAUCAGGUAGGAAUACCCGCUGAACUUAAGCAUAUCAAAAGCCGGAG
rnacentral:rRNA from 1 species